AGAAGGUGUGAUGAUGUCUACCCAUCAAUUCUGCAUUUGAAUGAUGAAUAUUAACAUGCACUACCAUCUGAUCUCAU